UUGUCUUAAAAAGAAUAUAAAUAUCAAAAUCAAAGAUCAUUUUCAUCAUCCCUACCCCUAUAGUUUCCUUAUUUCACCUGAUCUCUACCAUCUAUGGAUAAAAACCUGGAAACCACUAUGAUACAGAAAGUACUUAUUUCCACUAUUUGGUUAUCUACCCAUUUCUGAUUAAUAUGAUUUCUGAUUGAGUAUAAAUAUCAAAUAAUUUUUUUCUCAAGUGUAUGUGAACACAAGCUAGCUAAUUUUACAUAUGGGCCAUGUGUCUCAAGGUAGAGUGUUUGCCUCGCAACCAUGAAGCAAACUCCAGUACUGCCAAAAACAAGUAUCACAGAUACAUGUGGUAUUUGCAUAUGUAGCACUUAACAUGAAGGCCAGUAAACAGGAGAUACUUAAAUAUCACUGGCAUUACAGUGAUUUUUAUUACAGAAUGGUUAUCAGUGCCUGAGAUAACAAUUUAAAGAGGCUUGAAGCCAAACAUAGGGACUCAUACCUAUAGUUAACAGCUACCUGGGAGGCAAGGAAAGGAGGGGGCCCUACUUUGAGACCAGCCUAGGGGGGAAAUAUUCUGUUUCAAAGAAGAAGCUAGGUGUGGUGAUAUACGUCUGUAGUCCCAACUACACAGAGACAAAAGUAGGCCCACUGAGGGUCCCCAAGGCAAAAAAGCCUGAGACCCUACAGUCUGGCAGAAAACAACCACAAACAAACAAACAAACAAACAAAAAAACAACUGGGGCUAGGUCUCAGGUGGUAAAUCAUUUGUAAGAACCUGAAUUCAAACAGCACUACCAAAAAUUAAAAAUAAAGUCUGAAGAAAAUAUAAGCUUUUUUCUUGCUAUACGUGAAAAUGUAAAGCACAGAAAAUUUAUGCUAAGCCAAAGAAACUGACCUCAUGCCUUGAAAAUUUGGGAAACUAAACUUUCCAUAACAUAUGGUUUACUUGUGGUAUUUACUAGUAUCUAUUAAAAUUUAAGAUGUAUAUGCCCCCUACUCUAACACUGCCAAUCUUAGAGAUCCUACUAAAAUAUUAACUUGAUUUUGGACUUAUCACCUGGUACCCUCAUGUGCAUAUAAAGAAGAGAUCUUUUUCUCUUUUGUUUUUUGUUUUUUUGUGCCAGUCCUGGGACUUAAACUCAGGGCCUAGGCACUGUCCCUAAGCUUUUGUAAUUAAGGCUAGUGUUCUGCCACUUUGAA